AGAAAUCUCACCAGGCCCGGACACUGGAAGGAUUGACAGAUUGAUAGCUCUUCCUUGAUUCGGUGGGUGGUGGUGCAUGGCCGUUCUUAGUUGGUUGAGUGAUUUGUCUUGUUAAUUCCGAUAACGAACGAGACUCUGUCCUGCUAAAUAGUGACGCGGUUCAUCGAACCGUGGGCCACUUCUUAGAGGGACUAUCGGAUUCAAACCGAUGGAAGUGUGAGGCAAUAA
rnacentral:rRNA from 1 species